CACAGAGGUUGAGACCGUUAAUCGGAAUUACUGGGCGUAAAGCGCACGUAGGUGGCGACGUAAGUCAGGUGGGAAAGCCCCGGGCUCAACCUGGGAAUUGCAUUUGAGACUGCAUUGCUGGAGUACGGAAGAGGAGGGCGGAAUUCCCGGUGUAGCGGUGAAAUGCGUAGAUAUCGGGAGGAACAUAAGUGGCGAAGGCGGCCCUCUGGUCCAGUACUGCCACGCUAGUGCGAAAGCGUGGGGAGCAAACAGG
rnacentral:rRNA from 1 species